UGGGGAAUAUUGGACAAUGGGCGAAAGCCUGAUCCAGCCAUGCCGCGUGAGUGACGAAGGCCUUAGGGUUGUAAAACUCUUUCGUCGGGGACGAUAAUGACGGUACCCGAAGAAGAAGCUCCGGCUAACUUCGUGCCAGCAGCCGCGGUAAUACGAAGGGAGCUAGCGUUGUUCGGAAUCACUGGGCGUAAAGGGCGCGUAGGCGGCCCUCUAAGUCAGACGUGAAAUCCCCCGGCUUAACCUGGGAACUGCGUCUGAUACUGUUUGGCUCGAGGACGGGAGGGGUAAGUGGAACUCCAGGUGGAACGGUGAAAUGUGUAGAUAUCUGGAGGAACACCGGUGGCGAAAGCGGCUUACUGGCCCGUAUCUGACGCUGAGGCGCGAAAGCUAGGGGAGCAAACGGGAUUAGAUACCCCCGUAGUCCCUGAGCGGGCUGGCAAGGCGCAU
rnacentral:rRNA from 1 species